CCAGUCCUCAUGUGUAAUUUCAUAGGUCAUGCAGUUAUUUAUAUGCCGUUAUUUUUACACUUCCUAAGUGCCAGGCGGUAAUGUAAAUCCAGGAGUCCCGGGACGCGGUGUCUGCAAGCUGGCAGCAUGUCUCCGUGUAGGUAAAUGGUUCUUCCUCACUUUCUCCAGAGAGCAAAGGUGGAGAAGAAACUCUUUGCUCUUUUACCGGAAACCUUCAGUAUUUGCGACACCUGCAUGGCGUCCCGCAGAUGAAUUCCAGGUACAAUAGAUCCUCCUGCCCCCGACAGCGCAUCACAGAGCAUCGCAGGCGCAGUGGCUUCCCUCGCAUCUGGCUCAUCUCAAAAAUGAUGGACUAUUCAUGCAAGAUAUAUAUCUCUGCCAUGACUGGCAUGCCGCUGGCUAGAGAUCCACAGCCAGGAUGUUAAGGAAAUAAGGAGUUGCUGUUUUCCGCUUGUUUCCUGCUGUUGAGACAGACGUCGAGGGCAUUUCUGGUGUGUGUCUUUCUCCCGCCCCGAUCAUGGUGGCUGCUGGGAAUCCCUGAGAAGAAAAGCACGCUCUCCUCCCAUAUCUUUUCCUGGAGCUAGUGUAUGUUUUGCUUCAGAAAGGACUUACUUUCUCAGACAGAGACUCUGUAUCAUGUUUAAAUUUUAAGUGUUUUUGGAGACUAAGAAUGGCAUGAUAGGAAGAACCCAGGGUUUCGGAGAAAGGAGAUGUGUUUGAUUAGUUUAUGUGAUUACAGGAAAAUCACUUAAUCCCUCAAAGUCUCAGACUGCUCAUUAGUAAAUGGGGUGCAAACACCUGCUUAGCUUGCCUCACAGAGGGGCACUGAUAAGGGGAGAAAAGAGAUGUCGGGGUCUUGGCCAACAGCGAAGGGCCUCUUAAAGAUAUUAACUAUUGUUAUGUGAAACAGAUU